GGGGCGCCGAGAGGAGGAGACUGAAGAGGACCCUCCUCCCCUCCAUCGCGUAACGGAGUUCGCUGCAGGAUUCUGAGAUGGAGUCCUGACGGGGAAAAGGGACCAAACUGAUGUCAACACAACCAGAACACGGCAAAGAGCCCGGAGAUGGAGCUUCAGGAGAAGCCCUCUGCCUCUGGCUACAAGACUGGGAAAAGGAACCGAUGGCCUUUGGAAAUCUGCCCCCAGUACUCUGCAACUUUUCUCUCCCUUUCUCCAUUCUAUCCUGGCCUAGUCUCCGAUUAACCUAGUGGUGGUGGCGUGGUGGUAGUUGCAGUGGCAGCUGCAGUUAACUGGAACCAGCAAGACUUGAAAACUCGGAAAGUGGAAAUCUUCUCUGUUCUAUGGAGUUGCAGUUCCAAGAGGGAUCCAUGCACAAUACCUGGAAGUGGAGUCACCAUGUUGCUACUCUUAGGACCAGAUACAUGCUGUGGAAGUGGAGCUGGAAGCUCAAAGAAGCCUCACUGCUUUAUUUCCUUGAGCAACUGCACCCUUUCUGGAUUGCUUCUCUUCAAACAUCUUGUCAUAUGAAAUAAAUAAAAUCUCAUUUCAUCACACCAUUAUAGGCUGGUUUCUGUUACAUGCAGUGAAACACUAUCCAAACUGUAGGGCUAUUUUUUUUUCAUAAAUGUUGCAUCCAGAAACUUAGUUUUCCAAGUUCUUUCCAUAUAGGGUCACCAGAUAAAAUAUGGGACAUGGAGUUAAAUUUCAAUUUCAGAUAAACAAUGAAUAGCUUCUAUAGUGUAAGUAUGUCUCACGUAAUACACUUACAACUAAACAAUGAUGCAUUGCUUAUGUGAAAUUAAAAUGUAACUGGACAUCCUCUACUUUAGUUUGCAAAAUAUGACAACACUUUACAUGUCAUACAAAAUCUGUUGAUCACCAGGCCACUCCUAUCUACAAUAUAAUCUUGGACACAUGACUCACCCCAACUGCAAGGCAAAUGGAAGUUCUUUUGGUAAGUAAAAGAGGGAAGAGGGUAGGUAAUGAGCAGUGCCUGUCACAAUAAAGAAGUGGGAUUUAGAUUUUGGUUCUGAGAAGGGAAAAUGCACAAGGGGAAAAUCACGUGCAUUACUCCUCUCUCCUCCUUUUGCUUUAUAAUACUUUUGUUUAUAUUUUUCUUAUAAGAGAACAUUAGAAGUUCUACAUUUAACAUAAUCAGUCAUUUUAGUCUAUUUCUUUUAGUCCCUGCACCCAAAGCAUUGUGUCAUUUGUUCUAUAUAGUUGUAAUCAUAAUGUCAAUAAAAUUUCCAGCCAUAUUUAUUUUUUUUACAAUACUCUCAAAAACAUUUACUAUUUUGUUGCAUGGUCUUUACAAUACUCUCAAAAACAUUUACCAUUUUGUUGUAUGGUCUUUCUAAACAUAAUUUUUAUUAUUGCUGAAAAUUCUGUUGAGAUAAUUUUCUAUACUUAACCUUUUUCCAAUGUUUAUUUUAUUCUUUAAAAUAUUUUUGUUAUACUUUUAAUAUUAAAGUAAUGAUAAACAUCUUUUUUGCAAUGUUUGAUGGGUUGGAAUUUUGAGUUAUGUAUAAAGAACCCAUGUAUUCGAUUUGGAAUUACUCUGUCAAAUAAUAGGAUUAUUUUUAGUCUUGAUAUAUAUUUUUAGUUUUAAUAGUCCCUGCUUCCAGGGUUAGCCUUUAGCAAAAUUAUGAAAUUGGGUGACUUUAGCUUGUCUUUGUUUCUGUAACCUUCUAUUCUGCAGAUCAUUUAUUUUUGGUAUAUCCCAAAUUCCAUUCCAUUUUCAAGUGUCCAGUGCUUUUCUGCCUCUUUCUCCCAUUUAUAUCCUGCUUUCAAAAAUGGAUCUAAUUUUAAUAAUUUAUAUCACUUUAAAAUUAAGUCAAUACUUCUUGGCUCCCAGAGAAUAUUUGGAGAGGUAAUGUGCCUUAGUUACAGACUUAUUUUAAAUAUCAGGUUUGUCACUUAUUUGCUAUGUGAGUUGAAGAAGCCCUUUACAUUUCUGAGUCUGGUUUUCUCAUCAAUAAAAUGAAGACAUUAACACCUUCAAGUCAAGGUAGCUAUAAGAAUAAAACAAAAUAAUUAUUUAAAAAUUUUAGCAUACUGCUGGGCCAAUAGUAAGCAUUUAAUAGAUUCUAGAUAUUAUUAGCCAUAAUUAUCAUCUGUACUUUAGAUUCAUUUACAGUCAUCGAAUGGAAAUGUUAUUCCCCCAGAGAGGAAAUUUAGGAAUUCACUUCAGCUUGAAUAUCAUAUAAUAUCCCAUUUCUAGUAUUUAUUCAAAAUAUUUUGAUAAAUUUUCUUUCCUUACCAUUCAUUAGAGAAUCCUCCAUAAUGUCCUUGAAAUUACAUAAUGUGAGUAUUCAUCUACUACUCUGCAAAAGGUGACUACCAUGCCAGACUAAAGUCCUUAAAACAUUUUUACUCUCAAAAAUAUUGACAUAACUUUAAAUAUUUAAUGUCAUAUAGAACACAAUUUUUUACACAAAUAUGUAUUUAAUUAAAGAAAUGGUGACAUUAUCAGGUCUGUUCUGAGUCAUUAAGACAUAUAUUUGACUUAAAUGUCAAAAAAAUAAGCCUUAGGAUGCAUGCAUCCAUGAAUUAACCACUAUAAGCAGUAAACACAUUUUUAACAGUAAGGGAUUAAAGAAAACCCCAAUUUCUUUGGGAUAUUAAAAAUAAUUAGUCAUGACAAUUAUAACCAGCAUACUCCAUCCUUUUGUUAAUUUUAAAAAUGGAGACUGUGGCUUUACUCACAUGUUCUUAAAAACAGCUAGUAUAGGGGCAGUGGGUGGCUCAGUGUUUGAGCGUCUGCCUUUGGCUCAGGUCAUCAUCCCAGAGUCCCAGGAUCGAGUCCCAUAUCAAGCUUUCCUUGGGGAACCUGCUUCUCCCUCUGCCUAUGUCUCUGCCUCUCUGUGUGUCUCUCAUGAAUAAA
rnacentral:lncRNA from 1 species